UGUUAACCAGGAUGGUCUCGAUCUCCUGACCUCGUGAUACACCCACCUCAGCCUCCCAAAGUGCUGAGAUUACAGGCGUGAGCCACCAGGCCUGGCCUUUUUUCCUCUUUUUAUAGUUGAAGAAACGGAAGCAUAGAGCAUUUCAGUAACUUGCCCAAGAGCAAGUGGAAAGGCCAGGAAUUAAACUACACUCAGUCACCUCUAUAGCCUAGGCUAUUACCUGUGCACCACACUUGCUCUUAGGAAACGCUUGUCAGGGUGGAAAAAACCGGAGAUAUAGUCCAACCCUUCAGUACUCAGCAGGCUAGAAAGAAUAGAGAUGCAUUCAUUUUAAAUGUUUCAAUAAUUGGAAAAAACAACCCAAGUGACAAGCAAAUACAUUAGAUGGCAUUAUUUGCUUUACAACAGGCUUCUUUGCAUAGAGCUCAGGAAAUUUUUUUCCUAAGUAGCAUAUUGAUUGUUAAAUAACACUAUAACUUAUCCAUAGUAACUUAAAUAACACUAUAACUUACCCAUAAUAAGUUAAAUAACACUAUAACUUAUCCAUAAUAACCUUAUUUGUAGGUAUGACUGUCAUCUAAAUUUCCAAGUUCUCUGUAGUAAGUACUUAAAGGACACAAAAUUUCAGCUAAAUAAGAGGAAAAAUCUUAAGAAACCUAAAGUACUAAGUACUUACUAGAAAGAACUUGGAGGUCGGGCGUGGUGGCUCAUGCCUGUAAUCCCAGCACUUUGGGAGGCUGAGGCAGGCAGAUCAAAUGAGGUCAGGAAUUCAAGACCAGCCUGGCCAGCACGGUGAAAACCCGUCUCUACUAAAAAUACAAAAAUUAGCUGGCCGUGGUAGCACACGCCUGUAACCCCAGCUACUCAGGAGGCUGAGACACAAGAAUCACUUGAACAUGGAAGGUGGAGGUUACAGUGAGCUGAGAUCACAUCACUGCACUCCAGCCUGGGUAACACAGUGAGACUCUGUCUCAAAAAAAAAGAACUUGGAAAUGUAGAUGACAGUCAUACCUACAAAAAAAGUUAAUACAUAUCAGGGAGUUAUUAAAAAGUUCAAACUUCAGAGUAUGUCUUGGAGUCAACAAAGAUGGACUCUAACUUUACCUUACAAAUCUAAAGUACUGUUACAGUAAAUCAAAAUGAAGACCGGGCUUGAAGAUGCCCUGAGCAGGCAAAGCCAGUUAGACUUCAUUAAUGACCUUAACCUUGCUUGAUUUGCAAACAUAAACAAAACUUAACAUGAGCUAUUUCUGUAAAUGCCCAUAUUAGAAAACCAGAACUGAAGCUCAAACAAUCAGAAGCAGCCAACAAAUUUAUAAUUAUAUAACUGGGGACUUCUCAGCAGGAUAGACCAAAUGAGGCAAGUUUUAACUGUAACCAAUCAAAUAUUGCAUUUCUGUUCUUUCCCCAUUCACUCUACAAAAGCCUGUCUCUUCCUUUCCUCAGCAUAGGCACUGAACCACUUUUAGUUUGGAGCUGCCUGAUUCGUGAAUCUGAAACUGACCCAAGUCUCAUCAACAGUUUUUAGAUAAACAUAGAAAUUGAUCUGGCCAGGCGUGGUGGCUCACACCUGUAAUCCCAGCACUUUGGGAGGCCAAGGAAGGUGGAUCAUGAGAUCAGGAGAUCAAGACCAUCCUGGCUAACAUGGUGAAACCCUGUCUCUACCAAAAAUACAAAAAGUUAGCUGGGCAUGGUGGCGGGUGCCUGUAGUCCCAGCUACUUGGGAGGCUGAGGCAGGAAAAUGGCAUGAACCCAGGAGGCGGAGCUUGCAGUGAGUCAAGGUCGUGGCCAUUGCACUCCAGCCUGGGCAACAGAGCAAGACUCCGUCUCAAAAAAAAAAAAAAAAAAAAAAGAAAUUGAUCCAUCUGAUCUUAAAGCUUCAAACUUACAUUUGUUUUAUCUGAGUUGCUUCCACAGGAAAGGAAGCCCAGACCUCUCAAAGAGUAUCAGAGAACUGAAACUCACCAGAUCAUCACAUGCAAUGAGAUGUCAGGCCCCUCAUUCUUCAUGAUUGCUUCCUUGCCCCUCCGUAGUUCCUGUUUUCUUACAUACUGUUACAUUUCUUCCCUGCUAUAAAACCUCUAGUUUUAAUCAGUCAGGGAGGUGGAGUUGAGACUGAUCUCCCAUCUCCUGGACAGCAGCACCUGAGUAAAGCCUUCUUCCUUGGCAAUAUUCAUUGUCUCAGUGAUUGGCUUUCUGUGUGGCAAGCAGCAGGACCCAGAUGAACCCCUGGUGUUUCGGUAACAAAUCAUUGUUUGCUCAAAUAAACUCUUCAAAUUUUAUUGUGCCUCAGUUUAUCUUUUAACAGUACUCAGCAUUUAUAACUAAAAGACAACAGCAUACAUCAAGAAAAAAAUUAAAACACAUCUUAUGUGUCUUACUUAGUAUAUCAUUGGAAAACAAUCAUGAUAUUUUACAUUUUCUACCUGACACUAAAAUGUCACUGAUGUCUCUUCUCCAGGCCUGAUUUAUGAGGCACAGCAGGCACCAAGCCCAGGGCCCACGGUUCUUCUAACGGCCUUUGAAAAUAUUUUAAUUUAUUUUAAAAACAAGAAGACAAUAAAACCACAAACUUUUAGUUUCUCCAUGUUCCAGGAAUUUUAUUAUCAGUCUCAGCCUUGCUGUUCUGGGCAGGAAGAAAUGAAAGAAGAAGAAAGGAAGCCACGUCUCCUGAACACUGCCCGUGUGCCCAGCACAGUGACUGCUGUUGUGUAGUCAGCAUCUCUUCGGGGAGGACAGUCUACCAACUAAACACCACACCUGGGGUCCCCACGUGCAUGUCAGCUCCGCAAGAAGCUUCAUCCUGACAUUGACCCUCCCACCCAUCGGUGCAUCUGCCGAGUGUGUCACCAGCAAGAUCGAUCCCAAGCUGCUCAGCACCGUUAGAAACCAAGACUAAUAAAUCAUUUGCCCGCUCUCAGCCCACAGAUGGUAAGUGUGGUUCGAUGCAGGUAAUUAUUUAAAAAAAUGACUUUGGGAGCAAAAAAUCAAAACAUGGGAGUAUGUGUCUAAUAGAAAAGGCCUGCAAAGAGAUUUGGGAGUUCUAAUGACUCCAAGGAGCAGGUGAAGGGUCCCAGUGCCUGACAGUAGCUGGGCAGUCUGGUUGACAGAAUUGAUCCCUUCUGCCCCCAACACCGCCGGGCCUGGUGUCUGCUCGCCUCCAGGUCCCCCGUGCCAGGCGUGGGGAGGUGGGGGCCAGAGUAUUCCCUCCUGCCUUAAUGUGUUUGCAGAAAAAAGCCCCCACCAACCCAUCAAUUACCAAGACUGUCAGUCCCGAAGAAGGUGUUGUGACAGUGAUGGGGUCAGGUAAAGCCUUAGGGGCUACAACGAGACACAUUAAACCAGUCUUUUAUGUCGCCACCUCCUGUCCCCCGUUAACACCCCCCUCAAAGUACACGUUUUUCUUUUCCCUUUAACUUUCACAAGGAUGUUUCUGGUUUCUGCAAAAAGUAGCAUGGAUGGCAUGUCUUUAUUAUUACAGCUGUCAUUCAUUAGAGUGACCUGUGCUCCCCUAAGCUCUGAGCUCCCUCUCUGUCCCCAAGCAUGAACGGGCUGGCUGAUGCUUCUGUCCUUCCACCAUUUCAAAAAGAGAACAUCUCUUAAGAGACUGCAAGUGUCCUCGUGCAGGUGAGAGAUAAAAGACAAACCCUCCUCUCAAAUUCCCUCAAAACAUUCAUCUGCUGCAGAAGGAGAGUUUCUGGAUGUCAUUCGGAACUGAAAAUUUCACAUCAGUUACCAAAACAAAAAAAGUUCUCAUAACUUUGCUGGUGGAAAAUGGCCUAUGUCCAUGCGGAAUUCAGCCGUGGUUCCUUGGGCCCCUGCAAUCGAACGCCACCUGCAAACACUGUUAACCCUGGUGAUUCCACAUUCUUCAGAAAUGUAUAAAUAUCACUUGAUGCCCCAAACAGCCCAUGAGUAGGUUAAUUCAGUCCAUGAGUGAAUUAAAGGUGUAAAAAUAAUUCAAUCCAUUGUCUGACAGAACUGAGCCAUUACCGUUCACUGAUUCAACAACUGUUCGCUGAGUAUCCAUUCUGUGUUAGGGAAUGUGUGAGCCAUUCAGGACACAGAAAAAAAUGUUCCAGUUCCAACUAACUUCAAGGAAAUCACAACCAAAAGUUUCACACCUAUGUAGACAGCUUAGGGGAUUUCUUUAACACAGCGAGAAGAAGUGGAAUUCAUGUAAACAGAUGAAAGGUAGCCCAGAAAAAAAAAAUAGCACUAGGAAAAGGUAUGUUCUCACCCCAGGUAAAAGAAAAAAAUUCUAUAAGUUCGUGCUGCAGAAUUUACCUUGAGCUGUGAAAGAUAUCAAGUGGUGUACUUUAGAAAUCUGCUGAAGCCUACAAAUUAUAUUAAAAGGCAUGGAAGCAAAGCUAAGUGCUUUAGCUUCAGAAGAAAUGCAGUCAGUGCCCUGGAACAAAUUCCCAGGAGAAUGCCGUGGUUUUCACAACCCAGCGAGCUAGUCAACAAGUCCAGGCAGGGACUGAAUUCGCCUCCCAUUCUAGACACUGAUGAAAUAGCACUUCCUGCUACUCUUAAAUAUGUUAAUCCCCAUUUCAAAUAUCUACGGGGCAAGUCUACAGAGGGAGAUGACAACUAUUCUUAGAAUGUACUUAUUUUUCUUUAAAUACAGAAAAUAUUCAAAUCCAGCAUAUAUAGACUUACGAUCGCCAAAUCCAGCAUAUAUAGACUUACGAUCACCACAAACUGGUCAGCAGUUAGUUGAUUCGCCAAGCUACCUUUACGUGGCUUUUUGAGUCAGCCUCAUACGUAGUUUGAAGAAUUUGCUGUGUUUAUAAGGUCUAAAACAAUUAUUUUAUAAGUUCCAGUAACAAUUCCUCAAAAUGCUGAAAACGAAACACACACACACACACACACACACACACACACACACACACACACACACACACACACAAGCUCCAGCUCCCUAAAGUCUUUUUGCUUCGCUUCCUGGGGCCCACAUAGGCAAGAGGGCCAGAAGCUUCAGCUUAAUUAGCACCUUUUUAUACCAAAGCCUCUCAAGGUGAGGUACAAAAUAUGCAGUAAUCAUUUAACAGCUCAGUCAGCUGUGCCAAGCUAAUAGAUGAUGAGGAACAAAAGGAGACAGACAGAAAGACUCCUUCACUGCAGAUGUGCCAAAGGAAAGUUAUUUGGUGGCAUGCGACCAAAUAACCUUGAGUGUUCGUCACCUGUGUAUUACGCAAAUGACCCCACAAAAAGAAAAAAAAGUUAUUAAAAAGCAACAACAAAAACAAAACAGUAUCAGGUAUAAACCAAAGAAAACAUUCUCAUGAAAUGGCUCUCUGGGAAUUUUCUAACAUUUCUUCUUGGCCACCUUCUGAACCCACCCGGGAGAGAGCAGGCCAUGAGAACUCACUUGAGAUUCAGCAAAAAAUAAUUAAGAGGUUGUAUAAUUGACCAUAUUGCAUGUCUCACCUCUGGGGUUGGGGGUCCCCUGGUUCAAGACCCCAAGUGGGAUACAAGGUCACACCCAGUGAGGGCCGUUCUCUCACCUCCCUGACCAUCCAGGUGGAAAUUAAAGAUCCCAGGAUACUUUUCAAAAUAGCGCAGGGGAUCACCCAGCUGUCUGGACUAGCAGUCCCCAGUCUCAAUAAAAUCCAACUUAAUGUUCCCGGCUGGGAAUGAGCCCUUCUCGAACAUAGAGGAAAGUCUGUGCUCAUGGACACAAUUAUGAAACUGUCCUUUGAGCACUGUAAUUACUUUAUAAUUCACAGAGGACUUGAGAUACUUGGAGAGUGAAGGAUGCUAUGAAAACGUCAAUUCGAUUGUAAUUUAUAAUUGAAUUUAUCCACAGAGAAACAAGUGGUCACUAAACGAAAGUAUCUUCUAGGGAGCAAAUUUACAGGUGUAGCUUUUACAACUACCAGUGGCUUAGCUCCAAGAAAAUUCAAAUUCCAAAGUGAUAACUUUCCACAAAAACGUAACUUCAGAGUUGAGUAUUUGUAUUAAUAAAAUUCUCACCAAGUAGCAUUUUUGUAGCUCAAUCCCCCACUAGUUUAAUAUAUACUCAAGUUAGGGGAAAUAGACCCAAUGUGUAAAGAAGGUGGCCCAAAACAGAGUUUCCAUCAUCUCCUCCUAGAUAAUCUUUAAAUAACAAUGGUUGGAUGUUGUGUGUUUUGUAUACGAAUCAAGAAAGGUAAAACCUACAAACUAUAUUCAUCUUACAUUAAUUGAUUACAAAGAAAAUACUGAGAGGUAAACAUUAAGAAUGUCUUAAAGGGAAACAAAUUAAUAUCAACAUUUUAUGCAGCAAAGCUCAUAUGAACAGUCAUAAAUGACAUUGCUAAAUUUAAACAUUGCAUCCAUAAUCCACCUUUCAGCCCAUGAUCUGAAAAAUAUUUCUGUAAUAUAUGGGCAAGCAGAGUUCCAAGAGAAAAGUGUAACCAAAGGAUAGGGCAAUGUGUUAUUUUAAAGUAUAUAAAAAAUUAUCACUAUAUAAAAAAUUAUCCCAAAACUUACCAACUUGAAACAACAAACAUUUACUAUAUCAUCGUUUCUCUGAGUCAAGACUUCAGCAGUGGCCUAGCUGGGACCACAAUCAAGUGUUAGCAGAGCAUGGUGUCCCAUCUCAAGGUUUGACUGAAUAUGGAUCCACUUCCAAGCUCACACACAGAGUUGUUUGCAGGGUUCAGUUCCACACAGGCUGUUGGACUGAGGGCUUCACUUCCUCCUGGACUGUUGGCCAGAGGCCUUCCUCACUUCCCUCCACAUGGGCCUCUCCAUAGAGCCGCUCACAACAUAGCAGUUGUCUUCCUCAAUGCAAGAAGCAAAAGAAGACGACACGGAGCUGACCAGCUGGAGACAGCUAAGAAAGGAACCAUGACGUCAUGAGCUCUUGAGGUUGGGAGAAAUCAUAAAAAGACCUGAUCCACUGAAGACAUUCCUUCCACACACAUCUCUAACAAAUAAUUAUCCAGAUUAUCCCAGAAUCUUCUAAGGGAUUAAUCUAAGGGAUUCUUGAAUCUAUGGGGAUUAAUUUGAAGAUAUCUCAUCUCCCUUCUAAUGAGCUCCAGUCGUUAUGAAAUUCUUCCUAAUACUGGCUUGAAGUGCGCCCUGCACUCAAGCAUCCUAGUUCUCUUCCCUGGGUCCAGCUGACUGUACCAGCCUCUUUGCACAUGACAGCCUUUCCCAUAUUCAUAAACACCCUCUACACCAAGAUUUAUCUUACCUUACAGCCCUUCCAGGUAGAAACUCCUCAGUACUCUAGUCACCCUCUUCUGGGCUAGCUUCAUAGUGUAAGUCUUCCCCUUAAAACAUUGCACCUAGAACUAAACAUGCAGGAAAUGAGCUCAAACUGCUUCUCAAAAUUAAAAAAAAAAAAAAAAAAAAAAAAUCCCACCAAACACGGCCACGCUACAGUUUGCCAAUGGGAAGGGCCAACUUAGAUAUAAAUUUGAAGAAUUAGAAUGAAAUAGUCAAAUGUCUACUUUAAAAUUCGAAUUUGGUAAUUUAGGAAUUAAAUUACAUAUUUAUUCUGAAUCACACAUUCUAAUAGAAUAGAUCAAUUUAGAAGCACAGUUUUCUGGCUGGAUGUGGUGGCUCAUGCCUGUUAAUCCCAGCACUUUGGGAGGUGAAGGCAGGAGGAUCACCUGAGUUCAGGAGUUGAGGACCAGCCUGGGCACUAUAGUGAGACCCCAUCUCAACGACCACCACAAAAUAAAAACAUGGCUUUUCUUUUCUACACACAUGUUAUCAAAAACAUUAUUCACUCUUCAUUUGCAUCAUUACAUCAUCCCUGCCGUCACUGGAGCCACCUUCAGAGUCACAUAAAUAAAACAGAUUUCCAGAACAUAUCAUCUUUAGCUCUAAAUUGCUCAAAGUGUAGUAUUUUUAAAAAGUUUCGGCCAGGCGUGGUGGCUCACACCCGUAAUCCCAGCACUUUGGGAAGCCGAGG
rnacentral:lncRNA from 10 species